GUCCGUUGUCGGUGCCGUGCACCACCAGACGUCAAGUGCCGCUGAACACGCGCAAGAGGAGGCGUGCACGCGCACAGGACACCCACACCGACGUCUGCACUCUUGGAGACAUGCACGUGGACCCGUGCGUAAUGAUGAUGAUGAUGAUGAUGAUGUGACACAUGGAGGAAAGAGAAGAAAGACGAUGAUAGAUUUGUCCGUGUCGACGCCUAUGGUGACGGUUCCCAGGCUGCACCCACACAGCGGUGCAUCAUCAUCAUCAUCAUCAUCAUGUAGAGAAACAUCCACAGAGAAGGGGGGGGGGGGGGGCUGGGAACGAUGCGGACGAAAGGCACUAAUAAAAAGGGGCUUUGAUAUGAAUCUGUGGAUUAAAAGAUAUCCAAUCUAUUUGUCACACGUCGCAACUGGUGGAUGGAGAAAAAAAAAAGCCCCCGCUCCUUAUCGUGCGCACGGACGCAGGGUUUUAUUCCAAAUGUGCGCAACCCAUCCUCAAGAUGUCCUCAUCUUUGAAAAAGGGAAAAGAAAACACCCACGGUUCAAUGUCAAUAAUACUAAUAAUAAUAA